CCAUCUCCCUUUUCUUCCCAGCAAAUUCCGAAACCUCAAAACACACACACGCACACUAAAAAUGGAAAAAACCCUCUUAUUCUUCACCAUUCUUCCUCUCCUUUUCACCAUCUCUUUAUCCUCUGCAAACCCGAACCCGACUCCAUCUGAGGCACAUAGAGAGCUAAUCAAAUACGGGUUUCCUAUCGGGCUACUUCCCAUAAACGUGAACGGCUAUGCCCUAAAUAAAACUUCCGGCAACUUCGUUGUUUCUCUAGGCGCCACGUGUAAAAUUACACUUCCUCCGGACAAUUACCUUGCCACGUAUUCGAAGAAAAUCACUGGCAAAAUUGUUGAAAACCGAAUUGCUGAGCUUGACGGAAUUAGCGUGAGGGCAUUUUUUAAGUGGUGGGGUAUUACGGGUAUUAGAUCUAGUGGUGAGAAUUUGGUGUUUGAAGUUGGAAUGGUUACUGCUAAAUACCCUUCUAACAAUUUUGAUGAAAGUCCUGAGUGUGAGGGGAAAAAGCAUUCCUCUUCCUAAAGGGCUUUUGUCAGCUGCUUCUUUUGAUUGGCUUAUGAAAUAAACCAUAUGGAGUUGGGCAUGAUGGUGCUUGAUAUGUUAAAGUUAUCUUAGCACAUUAUCUUAUCUGAUUGACGAUUUAGCGAAUUGUGCAAGCAGUUGCUAAGUGUUAUUGUAUAUAUAUGCUCUCUAUUUUUAUCUGGAAUGUUAUUAAUGGCAAUAGAGAGAUUGUUGACUAUUUUCCUCUGUGUUGUAUAUUUGCUUCUGUGAUUGUGACCUUGGACAUAGGACUUGUUUUAUUGCAGACUGGUUUGAUUAGCUUAA